rnacentral:lncRNA from 1 species
CCUGGCUUAUGUAAAGCCAUCAGGUAAUAGACACAGAUUUAGCUGCAGGUGCCAUGCUGCACAUUUGCAGCUUAAUGACCAAAGAGGGCUGAUGAGUAGUCAUGGUGGCAAUCAUUGCUACAAGGAAAGGAGAUGGAAAUGAGGACAGACUGCUGUGAUGGGAGACAGAGGUUGGAAGCACUAAUAUCAUCAAUAUUAAUGCCAGUUGCAAUGUGAGCUCAGUGCCAGGGAGGCUGGUGAAGUGGACACCCAUGAGAGGCUAAUAGCUACAUCUAAUCAUCAAAGGGCAGAUGUUAAAUGUGAUUCAGAGGAAAGUGAGAGGAAGUGCUAACAAUGGCACAGAUGAAGAGAUAGGCUGAUACACGUGGUGAAAAUUGUCUAACACAAGCAUUAUCUUGGAGGAAAGAAGAGCAGAAGGGAGGGGAAGUUAUUCCUCAAAAUCCAUAAUUUUUUUUAAUUAGUCCAAGCCAGGCGCAAGAAAAACAACAUAACAAAUAUUUAAACACAUUUACAAACCCCAAUAAUUAAACAAAAAGUCAAAGCAAGUGAUUUUUUUCAAAGGAAAUACUGUGGUGUUAUCAUGGAAAUAUGUCUUUUAAAACAUCUUUAUCGAGUGAAAAAAAGAAUAUAAAUAAAAAUGGCAAAAAAAUCUCAAUGCUGCCAUUCUUUUUGUGUGUGUAUCCACAUAUCUAGAGAUCAUCUUAUAUAGAGUGCCUCUUCUCAUCUCCUUUGAGCUUUUGUGUUUUGUUGCUAAGGGAUGUUGAUGAGGCUAGCAGGAAUUUAUCAUCAGUGUGUUGAAGUGGAAGAUAGUAGAUGUUGUUAAUCUGUAGAUUGUAGAGCUCUUCCUACAGUGCUUCAAUCAGUUUACCUGUUAACACAAAAGAUUCCUAUUUCAAAAAAUGCAAAACUGUACGUAAUAGUGUGCCUGAGAGCAUUCAAAUGUAUUUAACUUUGACCUUCCUCAUCACUUCCAAUUGAGUAAACAAUCUUCCAAUGCUGCUGACAGCACCACUCAGUAAUAUUACUGUAACUAGUACAAGUCAUAUUCCCAGGCCAAAAGUAAAAAUUUCUUAGGGUGUCUGAUCUGUAGUUGCAGCAGCUAGUGAAUUUCUACCAGAGAUAAAUAUUUUUAAAAGCAAAAUUGAAACAACCAUCUCAACUAUUCACAAUCCGACAGCCAAAAGCUAAAUUAUCCUCCAAAUUGGAGAGGAACUCUACCAAGACUGAAAAUAAAAAGUUAUGAAGACCUGGCUUAUAGUAAUGUUUAGCAUUAGAGCAAUUGUACUUUUUUAUACAACAAGAUACACAUCACAUUUACUUCAUAUAAAUAAGAAUAGAUGAGAUAUGUGAAGAAGCGAAGUAAAUUAUGGGAAAAAAUAUAAGAUGAUAGACUAUAAGGGUAAAACAGGUGCAUUAAUAUUAAAAGUAGUGAAGACAUAGAUGUGAGACUUUCAUAAACAAUAUGUUAUAUAUAAAACAAAACAGAAAUACUGGAAUGGUG